rnacentral:rRNA from 1 species
GGAUUAGAUACCCUGGUAGUCCUAGCAGUAAACGAUGGGCACUAGGUGUUGGGGGAGUCGACCCCCUCAGUGCCGAAGCAAACGCAUUAAGUGCCCCGCCUGGGGAGUACGACCGCAAGGUUGAAACUCAAAGGAAUUGACGGGGGCCCGCACAAGCAGUGGAGCAUGUGGUUUAAUUCGACGCAACGCGAAGAACCUUACCUGGGCUUGAAAUGUACAGGAAAACCUCAGAGAUGAGGUCCCUCCGCAAGGAGUCUGUUCACAGGUGCUGCAUGGCUGUCGUCAGCUCGUGCUG